rnacentral:rRNA from 1 species
GAUGAACGCUAGCUACAGGCUUAACACAUGCAAGUCGAGGGACCGGCGCACGGGUGAGUAACACGUAUCCAACCUGCCCUUUACUCGGGGAUAGCCUUUCGACAGAAAGAUUAAUACCCGAUAUAAAGGAUGGGGUUGCGUUGCAUUAGGUUGUUGGUGAGGUAAUGGCCCGCCAAGCCUUCGCUGGAUAGGGGGACGGAGAGGAAGGUCCCCCAGAUCGGAGCUGAGACCCAGACCAAACUGCUACGCGGGGCUGGAGAGUGGAAGAUUGUGCAAUGGGCGUUAGCGUGAACCAGCCAAGUAGAGUGAAGGGGGAAGGGUUAUGGGUCGUAAUCUUCUUUGAUAGAAGGAUAUGUAUUAUAUGAAUAAGGAUCGGCUAACUCCGUGCCAGCAGCCGCGGUAAUUC